GUUCUUGUAGUUGAAUCGACAACGGUGGUUUUUCAAGUCACUGGUCCUGGUUAGAGUCCUGGCAGGAAUU
rnacentral:tRNA from 2 species